rnacentral:rRNA from 1 species
ACGCUGGCGGCAGGCCUAACACAUGCAAGUCGAGCGGCAGCACGGGUACUUGUACCUGGUGGUGAGCGGCGGACGGGUGAGUAAUGCCUAGGAAUCUGCCUGGUAGUGGGGGAUAACGUUCGGAAACGGACGCUAAUACCGCAUACGUCCUACGGGAGAAAGUGGGGGAUCUUCGGACCUCACGCUAUCAGAUGAGCCUAGGUCGGAUUAGCUAGUUGGUGAGGUAAUGGCUCACCAAGGCGACGAUCCGUAACUGGUCUGAGAGGAUGAUCAGUCACACUGGAACUGAGACACGGUCCAGACUCCUACGGGAGGCAGCAGUGGGGAAUAUUGGACAAUGGGCGAAAGCCUGGUCCAGCCAUGCCGCGUGUGUGAAGAAGGUCUUCGGAUUGUAAAGCACUUUAAGUUGGGAGGAAGGGUUGUAGAUUAAUACUCUGCAAUUUUGACGUUACCGACAGAAUAAGCACCGGCUAACUCUGUGCCAGCAGCCGCGGUAAUACAGAGGGUGCAAGCGUUAAUCGGAAUUACUGGGCGUAAAGCGCGCGUAGGUGGUUUGUUAAGUUGAAUGUGAAAUCCCCGGGCUCAACCUGGGAACUGCAUCCAAAACUGGCAAGCUAGAGUAUGGUAGAGGGUGGUGGAAUUUCCUGUGUAGCGGUGAAAUGCGUAGAUAUAGGAAGGAACACCAGUGGCGAAGGCGACCACCUGGACUGAUACUGACACUGAGGUGCGAAAGCGUGGGGAGCAAAC